UGACUAAUUCUAGGCUCUCGCUCUCUCUCUCUCUCUCUCACACACACACACACACACAGAGCUUUCUAGCAUCAAUGCAGCAACUGGUUCUUAGGGGCUGCAGGACGACCACCUCAACUCUCCUCCCUGAAGACUUGGGGGUCCCGAUUUCUGCCCCCCUCCACCAGCUAAAGUGCUGGCCCUAACCAAUCCCCCUCCCUAAGUCUCCAGUAGGGUCAACGCUUUGCUCCCCUGCCCCAUUUCAUCCACCCCCUUCCCAAGGAAACCGUGGAGCCAAGGAGCCCCCCGCCUCCUCCCCAAAUGCAGCCCCAUCGACCAUCACGGUGCAGAGGAGAACCAAGAAGUGGGGUGCCGUGGGGUGCCACCUCCUCUCCCCCCUCGCCAAGCCUGCAACUGCGAGAAGGAGGGGCUCUCUCUGGACCCGACUACGCUCCAGCUUCAACCCCAAGAGCUGCAGAUGGAAGGCAGGAGUUUCUCACCCUCGCUCCGCGCAUCGUGUGCCCAUCUACUGCAUCACCAGGAGCAUCGGGCACAUGUUCCAGCUGUUGCCCUCAUUCGCUAAGCAUGUCUCAAUAAACAAGGGUGCACAUUGGCUCCCAGUCACAGCACACACCCUGUGUCUUCUGAUGUUCCCUCUGAUCCUAAAGCGGCCUGGCCCUCCGCCCCCACCCUGAGUACAGGAACCCAAAGGCAUGUGGAGAUACAACAAGCCCUUGGUAUCUUAUUGUUCUGGAAAUUCCUGCACUGCUGGGAGAUCUGAUAACAUCUGUAAAUUAAGACAGUUGGCAAAUUCUUUUUAAACAGGGUGUUAUGGAUAUCUCCUUCUCCAGGUCAGGAGGAACGCUCUAAAACUGUCUUCUCAUAUUUGCCUGCCUGGUGGAAAUUGGGGUUGUUUCUUUUGACGUUUCAACCCUGCCCUUCCUCCAAGGAACUUGGAGUGGUUUACGUGGGACACAGUCUUCCAAGAAAUGCGCUUCCUGGAGCCUCAGUGAAAUGAACUUCAUUGCGCAUGGACACAUCUCCCACCCAUUUCAAUCAGACUGAAGCAGGAGGUGAAUUUGGGGCCACACAGAGACCACAUCCUGGCCAGGAUCUGGCUUGCUCUGCUUCAAAAACAGGAUCACACCAAGUGCCUAGACAUGGACAAGAAUAUUCUCUAACCACUGCCGCCUGCUGCAAAUAUUCUUCACCUAGAAGGGGGAAGAAUGCAUAGGAAAAGAGCUGGUCUUGUGGUAGCAAGCAUGACUUGUCUUCUUAGCUAAGCAGGGCCCACCCUGGUUGCAUAUGGAAGGGAGACUAGAAGUGUGAGCACUGGAAGAGAUUCCCCUCUGGGGAUGGAGCCACUCUGGGAAGAGCAUCUAGGUCCCAAGUUCCUUCCCUGGCAACAUCUCCAAGAGAGGGCUGAGAGAGACUCCUGCCUGCAACCCUGGAGAAGCUGCUGCCAGUCUGUGAAGACAAUACUGAGCUAGAUGGACCAAGGGUCUGACUAAGUAUAUGGCAGCUUCCUAGGUUCCUAAUUAUUAUCCAGUUCACACAUUCUGGGCCACAUACUGAGCCAGAUUCUCAGCCAUGUCCCGAGUGCAAGAUCUGCCUUGUAGGAAUCUCACGGCCAGUCCACACGGCCAGAGUUAGGGCAGGAGAAACCUUCUGCCCUAAACCGGGUGCUGAGUGUGCUCCCAUUUGCCGAUCGGCCUUUACCUGAGCUCUGAUUAAAUUUCUGGCUCAGCUGCCGACUUACUAACCAGACUAUUUACUCACCCCACCCGAGAGCACAGUAAGUUCUUGCAUGACCUCUACUUUUCAGCCUUAUCCUCUUUGGCGGUGACCCUCGUUUCCUCUGUAUCGGAGCUACGUGCCCAUCGCUCGCCCAAGAGCUUAGGACUGCAAACAGUUUUGACCCUAUCCAGUUCCAGCUGUGCUUUGAAAUAAGGUGUUUGUGUGUGGCAGUCACCCCAGAAUGUAGACGGGGAUACACAUCCAAUGGGUGCAGCAUUGAAAGCAAUGCCACUUGUUUCCAAGAGCUGGACAGCAAAUCUGUAGCAGGCAAUAAACAUUUGGUAGAUGAAAGGCAAACCUUACCCUCCAAGAAGCAACUUUCAGUGGUGUGUACUCUUCCACAGAUAGCACAAUCAUCAUGCUGGAGCCCUUCAGGCUGGCACCACCAAAGGCCAAUAAAGCCUAUUUAGAGUAAGGGCAAUGCUUCUCAAACUGGUCACAUGGUCCUAGUCAGUCAAGAACGUGAGAACAAACAAAGCCUGUUCAGGGAAAGACUUCCUUAUCAGGUGAAUACUUUCUGCAUUUUAAUUUUUUUAUUAUUUGCAAAGCUCACUGGAAGUGAGAAGAGCCUCUGAACAUAAAUGAAGUUAGCAUAUACCAAGUCAGAUCAUGGGCCAAAGGUAAAGGUAAAGUGUGCCGUCAGGUCAGUGGUGCCGUCUGGGUCACCAGCCCAGAGCCCUGUGGUUGUCUUUGGUAGAAUACAGGAGGGGUUUACCAUUGCAUCCUCCCACGCAGUAUGAGAUGAUGCCUUUCAGCAUCUUCCUAUAUUGCUGCUGCCUGAUAUAGGUGUUUCCAAUAGUCAAUAUUGUCCACCCUUGACUGGUAGCAACUCUCUAGGGGAGGAGAACUGUUCUUGCAUAAGCAAACAUGUUUUGCUAUGCAGGGUAUGUCCUGGUUUGUGUUUGGAUGGGUGACUACUUUGAGCACUGCUUGCUGUAACCCCCUUUGGGGGUUGGGCCAUAACUCAGUGGUGGAGCAUCUGCUUGCAUAUAGUAGGUCCCAAGUUCACUCCCUGGCAGCAUCUCCAGGUAGGGCUGGGAGAAACCCCCUCCUGAAACCUUGGAGAGCCACUGCCAGUCAGUGUAGAGUAGACCAGGGGUUCCCAACCUGUGGUGCUCUAGCUGUUGCUGAACUACAACUCCCAUCAUCCCCAGCUACAAUGUAUUGUGACGGCAGCUCCCUAAAGCCCUAAGGGUUUCCCCAGCUUCCUGGAGAGGCUGUUUACACAGAGAAAUAACACAUAAAUAAGAUGGCUCCCUGUCCCCAAAGGGCUCACAAUCUAAAAAGAAACAUAAGACAGACACCAGCAACAGCCACUGGAAGUCCUGUGCUGGGGGUGGAUAGGGCCAGUUACUCUCCCCCUGCUAAAUAAAAGAGAAUCGCCACCUUAAAAGGUGCCUCUUUGCCCAGUUAGCAGGGGUUGCCUGCAAUGCAGAUAUCUGGCCUCCAUCCCUGGUCCCACCAUCUCCCAUCAACAAAGCCAGGUGGGAGGUGGGCCUGUGCCCACCAAUGUUGCCACUGAACCAGCCAUUUCCUUCUUUGGGGCCCUCCUUUCUGCAACUCCUUCCACACGGGAGCUGGCAGGGGAAGAGCCUCAGGGACAGAUCGGAGGGGACGACUAGCCAAGAGCUGGGCAGAUGCUCUGAAGAGGGAACCUGGCGGGGGGGGGGGUCGCAUCAACUGCUGGGCUCCUCCCCACUGACCUUGGCAGACACUGUGGCAUCCCGCAGCAGCCCCUGACCCAGUCGCCACUGCCUCUUGCUUUCCCUUGAAUGUAACUCAACGCCCCUGGCUCCAGCCCCAGCCUAUUUUUAACUAAGGGGGAGCAAAAGGACGGGCUAUUUGCUUUUUAAACCCUCUUAGGAGCAGCAGCAGCAGCAGCAGAUUUCCCUGGCUUUCCCUGGGAUUCCUGCCCGUCCACACCUCUCUCCAAAGCCAACAAACUGGCAGUUGCCAAAUUCCAAGUCUAGCUCGGAACAAAGAGAAUAACCCCGGCCUGAGAAGACACUGCCAGCCCAGGGGUUGAGUUGCAGCAAAGCGGCAGUGAGGCAGAUGAGGAUGGGCUGCUUCUUCCACUGGUCUCCUCCGCUGCUGCUGCCCGCUUUGCAGGGGCAGCUGCUGACCUCUAGCGGCUCCCGAGGAGAACUGAAGAGCGCCCCCCCCCCACACCAGAGGCUGUUGCUGCCAGCCAGCUUCAGUCCAAGGGAGCUUUUCCGCAGGCCCCCUCCUGCAGGCCUCCGUGGGGCCUGCCUCUGCGUCUGGCUGGAUGCUUCGGAGAGCACCCAAAAGCCACCCAGAGCAACCAGACAGAGCCAAGGAAGGGCUGGGCCACUUUCCUGAGUGCUGCAGAAGAGCGAAUUUUGGUCACUGCAGAUUCUCUCACCUCUGCAGCACUGUAAGGGGACAAGCAGUUCAAUGUUCUCCCCGUUACUCAAACCACUUGCAGAAGUGUCUUCAAGUAUGAUUGAUGAUGAUGAUGAUGAUGAUGAUGAUAGCAUACUGCUUUUCAAGAAUUUAUUAUUAAUAAUAAAUUCAAGCCAUUUACAUAAGCAAAAACAAACAAACAAACCCCCACAUGAAGCCUGCCCUCCUCCUAGUCAUGGGCAGUGCCGAGAGGCAUAGCCCAUUUAAGCUCCAAAACAACCCUGUGAGGCACCUUGGGCUGAGAGAGCAGCCAGCUUCAAGGCUGAGCAAGAAUUUGAAGGCGAGUGGCCCAGGGUGGGGGGUGGAGAGCCUUGAAUGGGUCGAAACAUAACCAUCCCGGGGUCUGUUCAGCAGUGACAUGCAGUGGAGGAAGGGCAAGGAUUCCUCCGCCCGUUGCUGGAGUGUGGGUCAGGGUCCAGCCACCUGGUCAAGGAGGGGCCACCCAUCGCUUCGUGGUCCAGCCCCUGCUUUGAAGGCAGAAGGCCCCAGGCUCAGCCCUCGGCGGCAUCUCCAGCGAGGGCUGGGAAAGACCUCUGAGCAUGAAAUCCUGGAGAGAUGCUGCCAGUCAGUGUGGGCGGAACCCAGCGGGAGGGACUCCAUAUAAGGCAGCUUCCUACGAACUCAGCUUCAAAUGAGAGACGAACUGUAGAGCACUCUGGCCGCUGCAGAAUGCCACAGACAGCAGGCCCAAUCUCGAUCCCAGUCCGCGUUGCAACGGAGCAGAGGCUUUGAGCUCUUGGCGGGAUUCUGGAAGCCAGUGAAUGCCUGCCUGCUCCCCCUCUGUGAGAGGUCCGGCCUCUGGGGCUUGUUCAUUUUCAGUGCCAGCUACCAGGCGCAGGAGGAGAAGUCUAAGGGGACCGAGCGGGGUGGUAGUUAGGAGAGGGGCAAUGAACAAACCUCUCUCCUGCUGGGAAAUAUUGACAAGUCCAUUAUGAGCAUGUGUAAGUAUCCCUCCCACUGGUGUCAUGCAAGCAGCCUUCUAUCCUUGUCUGUCUGGAGCGAUUCUUUAUCUGCUCCAUGGAAGAAAAACGUCCCCAUAUUCUCUCCCGCUGCUCCUGACCUGCCAACCUGGGGAGCCCUUUUGCCCCCGAGAGCCGUAACAUUAUUUUUGGAUGUGUUUAUGACGCCAAAUGGUCUGCGCUAGAGCGGGUGCCGUUCUUGAGCUGGGGACCAUAUGGCACGCCGCGUAAUAAAUAAGGUAUUGUGAUAGUUAAUGAACCUAAUUGCUAGCAGAGGCUUUAAUACAAAGCCUGUGCUGCUGAGAAUUUAGCACCGCAUUAGGGAUGCGACGGAGCUCCCCUGACUUCUGAGGCUUAAUUUAAGUUCUAUAUUGCAAACUCCAGAAAAUAAUUCCAAACCCUCCUGCUGGAAAAGCAACCUGCUGGUAGACUGUGAUUAUACUGAAUUACUAAAAAAUUGCAAUCAAUUUUAUCCACACAGUUAACCCUUGCGACAGCGUUCUCCUUGGGGUGGUUUUUGACUUUCAUCCGCUGAAAACCACCCCCUUGGAGACAGGCAGAUACCUAAGCUAAAGACCCCACUCUAGCAGAUGCAAGACCAACCAAGUGUCUCACAUAGGGACAUAUUUGUUUUAUUUAUUUAUUUAAAAUAUUUUAAUACUCCCCCCCCAAAAAAACCUUGUGUCUCUGGGCAGUUUACAAUUAAAAUCAUUUAAAACGUUAAAUCAAUUAAACAAUUAAAAUCAUUAACAUUAAACUCAUUUAAAACCAACAUUAAAAAUUUAAAACCAUAAAUCGAAUUAAAAGCCUGGGUGAAUAAAUGUGUCUUCAGUGCCUUUUUAAAAGUUGCAAGAGAUGGGGAGGCUCUUAUUUCAACAGGGAGCACAUUCCAAAGUCCAGGGGCAGCAACAGAGAAGACCCGUUCCCGAGUAGCCACCAAACAAGUUGGCAGAAACCUCUCCAGAAGACAUAGGCAGCUGCUUUCUACCAAGUCAGACCCUUGGUCCAUCUAGGUCAGUAUUGUCUACACAGACUGGCAGUGGCUUCUCCAAGGUUGCAGGCAGGAGUCCCUCUCAGCUCCAUCUUGGAGAUGUUGCCAGGGAAGGAACUAGGAAACUUCUGAAUGCAAGCAGGCAGGUGCUCUCCCCAGAGCGACCCCACCCCCUAAGCGGAGUAUCUUUCUGUGCCCCCAUGUCGUCUCCUAUUCAAAUGCAAACAGGGUGGACCCUGCUUAGCAAAUGGGACAAGUCAUGCUUGCUAUCACUCACUGCAGGCUGGCCACUCAUCAGGGAGAGCUGUGCAGUUGACCAUGCCUACAACCUUACAUAGGAACAUAGGAAACUGCCAUAUACUGAGUCAGACCAUUGGUCUAUCUAGCUCAGUAUUGUCUUCACAGACUGGCAGCAGCUUCUCCAAGGCUGCAGGCAGGAAUCUCUCUCAGCCUUAACUUGGAGAUGCUGCCAGGGAGGGAACUUGAAACCUUCUGCUCUUCCCAGAGCGGCUUCAUCCCCUGAGGGGAACAUCUUCCAGUGCUCACACUUCUAGUCUCCCAUUCAAAUUCAAGCAGAGCAGACCCUGCAUAGCAAAGGGGACAAGUCAUGCUUGCUCCCACCAGACCAGCUCUCCUCCCUUGCAACAAUAAAAAGCUCUGACCAUAAAAGCUGUCCUGGGUUUCCUUCCCCAUGGGCCAAUCAGCACACUGUAGCAGCUGAACAACCACACAAACGCUGACCGAGUCCUAACCCAACACAUGUGCCACACACCUUCAGCAGGUCAUGCAACAUUUCCAGGCCCAGUUGAAAGGGCUGGUCACCACCUUAUCUGUCUCCAGCACAGCAUCAUCCCUCCAGCGGCUGUUGCUGGUGUCUGUCUUGUGUUUCUUUUUUGGAUUGUGAGCCCUUUGGGGACAGGGAGCCGUCUUAUUAAUUUAUUAUUUCUCUGUGUAAACCGCUUUGGGAACUUUUGGCUGAAAAGCAGCAUAUAAAUAUUCAUCAUAUCAUAUAUCAUAUCCUAACUCCCAUC